CGUUAGCGGCGGACGGGUGAGUAACGCGUGGGCAACCUGCCUUACACAGGGGGAUAACAAUUAGAAAUGAUUGCUAAUACCGCAUAAGACCCCAGUACCGCAUGGUACAGAGGUAAAAACUGAGGUGGUGUAAGAUGGGCCCGCGUCUGAUUAGGUAGUUGGUGGGGUAGAAGCCUACCAAGCCGACGAUCAGUAGCCGACCUGAGAGGGCGACCGGCCACAUUGGGACUGAGACACGGCCCAAACUCCUACGGGAGGCAGCAG
rnacentral:rRNA from 1 species